CCAUAUUGCUUUCCACAGAGGCUGAACAAGUUUGCAUUUGAAAAUUUUGAAUUAUAUGUUACACAUCAGAAAGCAUUUAUCUCAGCAGAAGCACUAUACAGUCAAAUAGACAGAAGGACUCAGCAAAGUGGCAGUCUGCCUCUGUUACUGUCCACUGCAGCGUUGACACAGUAACUGGUAACUUGACCAGACUGGCCAUGGUAACAGGGAUGGAGGCUACACAUGGGCCUAAGAGCACAGGCUCCUUUCCUACUCAGCUAGGCUGAUCUGACUAUUGCUUCUGCCAAAUAUCCUAUCUACCAGUAAGAGACCAAGCUCUGCCUCUCAUACAGCACCAUCCCUUGAGGCAACCAAGCAGCUAUGUGGUGGCAGGUAACUUUGGACCUUUUCCAUCUUGGAAAGAGGAGCAAAUUAAUCCUGACUGGAAUUUAUGCAUAUUCUGUAUAUGAGCAUAUCCUUCCUGGCUGCAUGGCCUCAGCCAACGACACUAUCCAAGGACAAACAAAGAGUUUGGUUGACCUAUAUAGGAUUCUACAUAACAUCACAAAGGCCCAUAGAAUCCACUUUACAGCAAAGGAGAUACUGCAUUGAAUAGAGAUCCAUGAGAUUGACUCAUCUUGCCACAAGCCAUGAAAUCCAGAAGCUGCUGGACUGAUAGAGCAAUGGAAUGGCCUUUGAAAGGCUCCUCAUAUCAAGAGACCAGUUGGAAAAGAAAGGAGCCCCCAUCCACCAUUCCUGCACAGCUCAUUGAUGUCUGACCAAAAAGAUGUUUUUCAGGGAACAGUAAAUAAUAGUUAUCAUGUGUCAUCUGGUGGAAAUCACAGCCAUCUUAGAGAUGGAUUUAAUUAGGCCCCUACUGCUUGCGUUCUUGCCAUUGACUUAACACAGCUCGCUCGGUGAGACUCCAAAGCCAGAUGUUAAGUAUGGUGUGUGUGUGUGUGUGUUAUGUGUAGGGGGAGAGAGGAAGAGAGAGAGACCAACCUGAAGAUUAUUGCAGGUGAGAAAGAAGUAAGGAUACCUGUUCGGCUACUACUUGUGUAAGAUCACGGGAUUUGGGGAAUACAGUUUCUGUGUUAGAAUUAUCUUCUGUAAUAGAUUGCUCCACAGAAAUCAAUGAGAUUGGGAACAGGGAAAAAAGGAACUCUCUGACCUCUCCAAUUUCAACCAUUCGCACUUCAACAGUUCCCUUCACUUUGGGCCCAUUGUAAAAUAAUCCUUUGGCAGCACUCGAAAGAAUCUCCUGCACUGCGUGCCUCAGGAAGAUUCAUUGCAUGGCCUCUGGAGUCAAAAUGUCUGCUUUCUAAUUCUAGUUUCAUCUCCUCUUAAACCAGAUAAUCUCCUGUAAACCUCAGUUUUCUCAUCCAUAAGUGGGAAUGCCAAUGGUAUUUACCCCAUAGAAUUGAUGGGGUAAUCAUGUGAUGAUUGCAUAAACUAAUUCAUGUAACGUGCUUAACACAGUGCCAAACACAAGGUCAGCAUUUAACGAAAUGGUAGCUUUUUUUGUUUUGUUUUGUUUUAAUUUAUGUGCCUUUGCUUCAGGGGAAGUCCGUACAAAUACAGAAGGAACCUGACUGGUUGGUAAAUAUUUUCACUUUCAAAUGUUUUUUUCUGAUUGGAACAUGCCCUUCUGGAACCUACUUUUUCAGACACCUUCCUUAACUAUUCAAGCUCCUGAAUUUUGGUUUGCUGAGAUGUCUCCUCACCGCCAAUCUCCCCCAGGGUUGGGGAGGGGCUGCGUAUUGCAGCACAGAAAUUAAGAUCAUUUUCCACAGUAAAGCUAUUUUAGUUUGAGGAGGCAGGGAUUCUAAUUAUGAUGUUUAAAACUGUCCUUGUAGUGUAUCUUUCAACUUCCUAGAGUUUAUUUUUACAGGUGUUUUCAUAUUCCCAUGAAACAAGAAGAGACACUAGUACCCAAACCUGAAAAACAUUUAUCCUGGGAUUAUUACCAAUACAUGUGGGUUUUUUCCAAAGCCCCCAAAUAUGGAAGUCAAAAUAGAUUAUUUUCAUAUUCCAUCCUUUGAUACUAACCACACUACUGUAUCUCAAUGAACUGGCCUUGUUAAUAUUGCCUGGGCCUCCCAGGGAAAGUUGUCCCACUUUGACUUUAAUUAGAUGUCAUUUCCUAAAUAUAUGGUAUACUUUAUACCAGUUAUUGGUAGAAACAACAGAAGCUGGUUACUCACUAUUCCUUCUAUCCUUAAGGUGCUUUUCUAGUGCGCUACAAUGGAACAUGCAGAUUUAGAGACAAUGGUAAAAAUAUUAGUAGAGUGAAAAGAGCUCCUAAACAGCUUUGUAAUGUGGAAGUCGUCAUCCCAGUUUUCAAUGGACCAACGCUACAUGUGCCCUGUUCAAAUGAUCUUCAAACAGUACUUGAGAACUGAUUGCAGUAAAAUCCAGUAACCUAAAGUAGCAUAUUUUUAAAUGACAGAGAUUAGCUACUCUGCAAUUUUGGAGGUUUGAAACAAUGUGCAGAUGUGUUUGUUUAGUUCGCUUAUAGCGGCAGCCUGGAAUAGGCCACCUUGUGCCAAGAAGAUCUCUUAUACUUGGCACAGUCCCAAUCACUACUUUCAGAUUCAUUAAUAAUAAACUCUUCUUUUAAAUGCAGCUAUCACUUAUCACAAGCCUAAUUCACAAGAGCUUGUGACGUGUUAUGCUAGGUAGGAGAGGCAUAGUUUUGGAGCACAGGGCGUUGUAAGGGAGGACGCCGCUGGGGAAAGGUUUCAAAAGGGACUGAACGACCACCGAACACUGCUGACAGAAAGAUGCAGCGAGAGCAGGAUUUCUCCACUUGGGCACCAUGGGCAUUUUGGGCUGGGCAGUUCAUCAUGGCGGAGGCUAUCCUGUGCAUUGUAGGAUGAUUACCAGCAGCAGCCCUGGCUUCUACCCACUAGAUGCUGGUGGCAGCCCCGCUCCCAGAUGCGACAGCAAAAAUUUCUCCAGACACUGUCCAACAGGACCUGUGCUGCAAAAUCACCCUCAGUUGGGAACCCUUGAAAGAGAAUUCAGAGUUCUGGAGAAACACUUGAUAUGGUCUGUAAUUUGUUAGAGCCCUGCUGGCAGCAGCACCAACUGUGAGCUACUGAGAAGCAUUUGUCAUGUGCUGUCAAGAGGCUGACUUUAAAGCCCUUCUCAGCUGGAUCCUAGUCUACGCUUCUUAGGGCCUGUUCUCUUCCCUGAAUGCCGGUGUUUUCCAAGAUAUCCAUUAGGGGAUUAUGAAGUCAAUUUAAUGUGUUCCAACCAGCAUUU